rnacentral:rRNA from 1 species
UACGGAGGAUGCAAGCGUUAUCCGGAAUGAUUGGGCGUAAAGCGUCCGCAGGUGGCUAUGUAAGUCUGCUGUUAAAGAGUGAGGCUCAACCUCAUAAAAGCAGUGGAAACUACAUGGCUAGAGUGCGUUCGGGGCAGAGGGAAUUCCUGGUGUAGCGGUGAAAUGCGUAGAGAUCAGGAAGAACAUCGGUGGCGAAAGCGCUCUACUGGACCGCAACUGACACUCAGGGACGAAAGCUAGGGGAGCGAACAGG